rnacentral:rRNA from 1 species
UCUNUGCUAAGGNAGCGAAGUCAUUUGCUUCUUUAUUGGAAGCCUGUAUGAGUGGAGGCUUGAAUGUAAUUUUUUUAUUUAUUAAUUAAGAUAAUUUGGCUUGGUAGUGAAAAGACUAUCAUGAUUAAAAAGACGAGAAGACCCUAGAAUCUUAAUUUUUAUUACAAGAAUAGUAAAGAUUUAUUUGGGGGAAAGGUUUAUAGUUAUAAUUUUUUUUGUUAAUUGGAACUUUAUUAGGUUGAAAGGAAAGAUACUUUAGGGAUAACAGGAUAAAAGAAGUUUUGAGAUCUAAUCAUAACUUUUGUUUGUUACCUCGCUGUUGGCNUUUGAA